rnacentral:rRNA from 1 species
CAUGUGGUUUAAUUCGAAGCAACGCGCAGAACCUUACCAGCCCUUGACAUACCGGUCGCGGACACAGAGAUGUGUCUUUCAGUUCGGCUGGACCGGAUACAGGUGCUGCAUGGCUGUCGUCAGCUCGUGUCGUGAGAUGUUGGGUUAAGUCCCGCAACGAGCGCAACCCUCGCCCUUAGUUGCCAGCAUUUAGUUGGGCACUCUAAGGGGACUGCCAGUGAUAAGCUGGAGGAAGGUGGGGAUGACGUCAAGUCCUCAUGGCCCUUACGGGCUGGGCUACACACGUGCUACAAUGGUGGUGACAGUGGGCAGCGAGCACGCGAGUGUGAGCUAAUCUCCAAAAGCCAUCUCAGUUCGGAUCGCACUCUGCAACUCGAGUG